rnacentral:lncRNA from 1 species
GGGUCUGUAUGCAUGUGGUCCUUCAUUUCUUAAAUCUUUAACUUUUGGAAUUUUUUUUUUCUAUUCUUUAUAUCUAUUGUCUUUAAUUAUGUACGCCUUGCCCAUUAUUCUCUAUUUUGUAAACCUAUCAAAACCCUAAUGUACACAUACAUGUAUAUCUUAUCAGUGUCAACGUCCGUCUUAUUAGUAUUGUUUUUCGUACAAAAUGUAUGUAGAAUGGAUUUUUCUCUAUUUUUAAUACUGAUGUUAAGUAAAUUAUGUGUGUAGUUUUGUUCGGUCUUCUAACGUAUACAAUCAUUAAGUACAUUGCCGUCGUCCCCGGACCUCCACUCUGAUCCAUCGCUGGAAACAUGCUGUCAAUUGCAGAAAAAAUAUAUAAUUUGAUUAAACCUUUCCGUACUGUUAAUAUAUAAAACAGUUUAAAGCUAGAGGCGAGUUGAAAAAUAGCAAUUAAU